rnacentral:rRNA from 1 species
UGGCCAGACUCCUACGGGAGGCAGCAGUGAGGAAUAUUGGUCAAUGGCCGCAGGGCUGAACCAGCCAAGUCGCGUGAGGGAUGACGGUCCUAUGGAUUGUAAACCUCUUUUGUCAGGGAGCAAAGGGCGCCACGUGUGGCGUUUUGCGAGUACCUGUAGAAUAAGCUCCGGCUAACUACGUGCCAGCAGCCGCGGUAAUACGUAGGGAGCAAGCGUUAUCCGGAUUUAUUGGGUGUAAAGGGUGCGUAGACGGGAAGGCAAGUUGGUUGUGAAAUCCCUCGGCUUAACUGAGGAACUGCAACCAAAACUAUCUUUCUUGAGUGCUGGAGAGGAAAGUGGAAUUCCUAGUGUAGCGGUGAAAUGCGUAGAUAUUAGGAGGAACACCAGUGGCGAAGGCGACUUUCUGGACAGCAACUGACGUUGAGGCACGAAAGUGUGGGGAGCAAACAGGAUUAGAUACCCCCGUAC